AUACACCUGUUCCCAUUCCGAACACAGAAGUUAAGCUCUCUUGCGCUGAUGGUACUUGGUGGGAAACUGCCUGGGAGAGUAAGACGUAGCCGCGU
rnacentral:rRNA from 1 species